GUGCGACGGCGCAGGUCUGCACCAUGGCGGCCCGGCUUGUGAGCCGAUGCGGGGCUGUGCGUGCAGCUCCCCACAGCGGCCCGCUGGCGUCCUGCCGCAGGUGGUCCGGCGCCUCAACAGACACCGUGUAUGACGUGGUGGUGUCGGGUGGAGGCCUGGUGGGCGCUGCCAUGGCCUGUGCCUUGGGAUAUGAUAUUCACUUUCAUGACAAGAAAAUCCUGUUGCUCGAAGCAGGUCCAAAGAAAGUACUGGAGAAAUUGUCAGAAACUUACAGCAACAGGGUCAGCUCCAUUUCCCCUGGCUCUGCAACGCUUCUCAGUAGUUUUGGUGCCUGGGACCAUAUCUGCAACAUGAGAUACAGAGCCUUUCGGCGAAUGCAGGUGUGGGACGCCUGCUCAGAGGCCCUGAUAAUGUUUGAUAAGGAUAAUUUAGAUGACAUGGGCUAUAUCGUGGAGAAUGAUGUCAUCAUGCAUGCUCUCACUAAGCAGUUGGAGGCUGUGUCUGAAGCUGCCAAACUUUUCUGAAGAGGCUAUACAAUUUCACUUUCCCACCAGUCUA
rnacentral:sRNA from 1 species